rnacentral:sRNA from 1 species
GUCAGGGAGCCGGGGAACCACGUUCCUGGGGUGAAUCGGCGGGGCUCCGGCCCGGCCGUAGGAGACCUUCCUGCUCCGAACCCGUCAGCUAACCCGGUAGGCGCGAAGGAAGGA